rnacentral:rRNA from 1 species
AAUCCUACGGGAGGCAGCAGUGGGGAAUAUUGGACAAUGGGCGAAAGCCUGAUCCAGCCAUGCCGCGUGAGUGACGAAGGUCUUCGGAUUGUAAAGCUCUUUUGGCGGGGACGAUAAUGACGGUACCCGCAGAAUAAGCCCCGGCUAACUUCGUGCCAGCAGCCGCGGUAAUACGAAGGGGGCUAGCGUUGUUCGGAAUUACUGGGCGUAAAGCGCACGUAGGCGGAUUUGUUAGUCAGGGGUGAAAUCCCGGGGCUCAACCUCGGAACUGCCUUUGAUACUGCAAGUCUCGAGUCCGGAAGAGGUGAGUGGAAUUCCUAGUGUAGAGGUGAAAUUCGUAGAUAUUAGGAAGAACACCAGUGGCGAAGGCGGCUCACUGGUCCGGUACUGACGCUGAGUCG